GUCCUAGCCGUAAACGAUGGGCACUGGGCAGGGGAGUACCUAUGAUUCUCUCUGCCGUAGCUAAUGUGUUAAGUGCCCCGCCUGGGGAGUACGCUCGCAAGGGUAAAACUCAAAGAAAUUGACGGGGGCUCACACAAGCGGUGGAGCAUGUGGUUCAAUUCGAAGCAACGCGAAGAACCUUACCUGGCCUUGACAUGCACGGAUUAGUCCCGUGAAAGCGGGAUAACAGCUCUUCGGAGUCGGAACGUGCACAGGUGUUGCAUGGCUGUCGU
rnacentral:rRNA from 1 species